UCCCACCCAGGGCAGUGUGCUGGUUCUCUUUGGAGUGUUGCUCCUCACAGGGGGUGUUGGGGUCCCGGGGAAGGAAUAUUUCAGGAAAUGGCAGAGAAGAGCUGGAGGAGGCUGAGUUUCCAUGCUGGGAAAUGCCAUUCCAUGUGGGAAGUGGGCUGGGAUCCUGUGACCCACGCUGAGGCUCUGACACCCUCACAGAACUGUCCUGGUUGCUCCAAAUUAGGAUUCCUAAGGGUUUUUUCCAGGGACUGAGGCCAUUGGAGCAGCAAGGUUCCCUCUCCCUGGCUGAUCUCCAUUCCUCCUCUCCCAAACGCGAAUGUCAGCGCGGGCUCUGGAUAUGCUCAGAUAGGAGCUGGUAUCUCCCAUCUCGCUGGGAAUGCCGCGAGUGCUGCGUCAGGGAGCUGCCUCCAGCAAUUCCUGCUGCACGGAGGCUCUGCCAGAGCGCUGGAACGGUCCUGCUCCUUCUGCCCUGGGUUUUACCCCCCACAUAUCCUGUCCUCCUGCCACACGUGUCCAGGGAAAGUUACUGGGCAGGGAAUGGAAACGCUCUGGCCCUCGGCGGCUGCAGCGACGAGCAGAAGUGAUGCCUUCCCCUUGUCUUCCUUCCUAAAACACCUCCCCAAAAAACCCAACCUGACCAAAAAAACCCAGUCAGACACGAAGAAACCCCAACCAGACCAAAAACCCCAGUCAGACCCAAAAAAUCCCAACCAGACCAAAAAUCUCUGACUGGACAAAAAUCCCCAGACAGACACAAAAAAAACCCAACCUGACCAAAAAACCCCAGUCAGACCCAAAAAAUCCUAACCAGACCAAAAAUCUCUGACUGACAAAAAACCUCAGUCAGACACAAAAAAACCCAACCAGACCAAAAACCCCAGUCAGACGCAAAAAAACCCCAACCAGACCAAAAACCCCAACCAGACCAAAAACCCCAGUCAGACCCAAAAAACCCCAACCAGACCAAAAACCCCAACCAGACCAAAAACCCUCAGUCAGACACAAAAAACCCCAACCAGACAAAAAACUCUCAUCCAGAUCAAAAAAACCCCAACCAGACAAAAGCCCCAACCAGACCAAAAUCCCCCAACCAAAACCGAAUUCUUUUUGGGGUGAAGGACAGCACGAGGUGAUGGCAGCAGGAAGUUCAUGCCCUGCUGGUUCCUGCUGAGGAGAACCAAACCCUUGGAUUGCUGAGCAGGCAGGACUGGGAAUGGCACAGGAGGAACCCUAAAAAUGGAUGGAAUUGGAGUUCCAGGAGGGAAUUUCCUGGCCUUCAGCAGGCUGGCUGGGCAGCCUUUCCUUGCUCAGCUAUUUUCUGUAGGGAUUUGUGCUUUCCAGGCUUGGAGGGAGGAGUGUGGAGCUCCAUGAUGAGCUCUGGCUCUGAAAUAGUCCCAAAACUCCUCAAAAAUGCCCUGCUGGGUGCUGGGGAGGAACACAGGGAACUGCAGCCCCCUCUGGAAUUGUUCUUUUUCCUUCUGCUGUGGAGUAACUUUGCUGCUGCUGCAUCCUGGCUUUCUGCUGAUGUAUCCUGGCUUUCUGCUGAUAUAUCCUGGCUUUUCUGCUCCUAUUGGGAAUACCUGGCAUAACCCUGCUCCAGGCACCUGGCUGGGGGGGGAUUUCUACCCUCCUGUGUCCCUUGCACAAGUCCUGGUCCCUUUUCCACCCUGAUCCCACCCCAGCCAGCCCUGGUGGAUGCUGAGCACUGUCCUGCUUGGGGAGCUGGAGCUCCUCAGGAGGGUGAGGAAUGCAGGAUUUGGGGUGGGAUGUGGAGGGCUGCUCCCCCUCCUCCUGUGUCCUCCACCCCAAGUCCUCAUCCAGCUCCAAAUCCCAAUCCUUUGGAGAGAUCGUUCCUGUGGUUUCACUGUAAAUAGAAUUUUGUAUCUUCUCUGACUAUUGCUAAUAAAUGGUUGCAAAACUGUUC